CUCCUUCCUUCCUUCCUUUCUUUCUUUCUUUCUUUCUUUCUUUCUUUCUUUCUUUCUUUCUUUCGUGAGAAGUCUUUGUUUAAUAAAAGCAGAGCUUUAAUUGAAUUGUAAGAAGAAAUUGAAAUUUGAAAGCCUUAGUUAAAUUAAUGAGGAAGCUAUUUCUAAUAGAUGUCUUUAUCAAGUUUCAGGUGUCCCUUAAGGCUGAGUCCCAUGAUGGAGGUUAUGGGAGCUUUUUUGAAAAUUUCAAUUAACUUGAAGCAAGCAAACAAACAAAAAACCCCACUGUAUAUAUACUCUUCAUUAAUUUGAGAUUUUUAGACAAGAGAAUAAUCAAAGCCAAGCAUUCAGCACUGUGUCAGAUGCAGUAAAUACUUAAAAUCAUCUGUGGAACUAAUUAAUUCAUAUAUUGCUCAUUCUUUUUUUUUUCUUUUUUCUGUUUUUAAGUGAUUUUUUUUUCCCAUCAUAGCUGGUUUAUAGUGUUCUGUCAGUUUUCUACUGUGCAGCAAGGUGACCCUGUCACACAUACAUAUAUACAUUCUUUUUCUCACAUUAUCAUGUUCCAUCAUAAGUGACUAGAUGUAGUUCCCAGUGCUAUACAGCAGGAUCUCAUUGCUUAUCAGCCUCUCCUACUCAUUUCAAUCUAGUCUCUGGAUUUCUUUCAGAGCUAAUUGUUCUAUAUAUGACUCUAGAUUCAUUGUGUCCAUGGGAGUUGUGAGUUAGGAGCCUCCUAUGUUGCCAGCUUGAACUUAAAUCAGCAGUUUCUUAAAGACUUCGGGUGUAUAUACUGUAUGAUCUGACUAUUCCAAUCUUGGUAUUUACCUAAGGAAAACAAACAAACAAGCAUUAAGUCCAUACAGAGACCUGUACACAAAUGAUGAUAGCAGUUUUAUAUGUAACAAACACAACCUAGAAAUAACCCAAAUGGACAUAACAGGAGAAUGGAUAAACAAAUUGUGGUAUGACCAUACAACAGAAUAUUACCCAUCAAUAAAAAGGAAUGAACCGUGAACACGUGAACACGAGUAACAGGGAUGAAUCGCAGAAUUAUUAUGUGAAGAUAAUUGAGAAUGAAUUAGUGGUUAUCAGUGGGGAGAGGGAAAAGAGGGAGGGACAAGAUUAGGGGUAGGGGAUUAAGAAAUAGAAAUUACUAUGUAUAAAAUAAGUAAGCAAAAACAAGGCUGUAUUGCACAUUACUGGGAAAUACAGCCAUUAUUUUUAAGAACUUUAAAUGGAGCACAGAAGAGUGUAUUUCGUCUGAGUCCAUUUAUAUAGAACUCUGGAAAAUGUAAACUAAUCUAUAGUGACAGAAAGAAGAUUAAUUGUCUGUAAAUGAGAGUAAAGGGAGGGAGGGAUUACUAAAGGAGAGGACAAAACUUCUUAGGGUGAUAAAGUAUUAUCUUUGUGGCGAUUGUUUUACAAGUAUGUUUGUCAAAACAAAUCAGAUUAUACAUUGUAAAACUGUGCAGUUUACUGUAUUUCAAUAGACCCCAAUAAAAUUUUAAAAAAGCUGUUGGAGAGAUACUGCAGCAAGGGAUAAACAGAAAUAUGUUGCCCUUCUAGACUUUUCUUAAAUCUAAAUCAGCACCUGAAUUUUCUUUUCAUAUCUUUUGUGUUAAGCUCUCUGUAACACAUCCAAGUGCAGAUGUUGAGAUAUAGAAGGUUAAGCCAGAGAUACAGUAUUGGAUUUCAAGUAGGAAAUAGCCUUAAAAAUCUCAGGAGUGCAUGUGUUUACCUAAGGAAUGUAUGAGACAGAGAGAAAGUCUAUGACUGAACUCUGAGUAAGACUAACAAUUUCAAGGUAGGAAAACGAGGUGGAUUCAGCAAAGAAGGCUGAGAAGGAGCAGCUAAUGGGGUUGAAAGAAAUCCCAACAGUCAGGGAAGUCUAGAGAAGUGCUUAAGAAAGGAAGGAGAGGUCACAUAUGCCUAAUCCUACUGAAAGUGAAAUUGAGUAUAAAAUACUGUUCAAGGACUGUGGGAAUUUGUAUUUGGAAUCAUAAAAAAUAACACAAGCAGAGCUAUGCAAAAACUUCCUUACGUGUGACACAUUUUGCCUGACUUAUUCUUGAGUUAAUGGGUUUCCCACUUCAGGGAGUAUGAAAUUGGAAACAACUCAUUAAAAUUAAAAAAUGAAUUUAAGGAGUUCCUGUUGUGGCGCAGUGGUUAACGAAUCCGACUAGGAACCAUGAGGUUGUGGGUUCCAUCCCUGUCCUUGCUCAAUGGGUUAACGAUCUGGCAUUGCGUUGCCAUGAGCUGUGGUGUGGGUCGCAGACGUGGCUCGGAUCCCGAGUUGCUGUGGCUCUGGCACCAACAGCCACAGCAACGCCAGAUCUGAACUUUGGCUUUGACCCACACCACAGCUCAUGGCAACGCUGGAUCGCUAACCUACCGAGUGAGGGCCAGGGAUCGAACCAGCAACCUCAUGGUUCCUAGUUGGAUUCAUUGACCACUGAGCCACGAUGGGAACUCCUUAUUACUGUAAUUUUUAUGGCUUCCAGUGUUGGGUUUUCACGUGAGGUACCAACCAUCAACCCUUCAUUAGGAAAUAUGAAAUUGAGAUAGUGGUAUAAUUCCAUUUUGAUUUGUUUAGAGAAGGCUUUACAUAGUAAUGCAGUAUAAACAACCUGGACAGUAAUCUUGAUUUAUUAGUUUUUGAGGGGUUCACCUAGGACUUUAGGGCAUGAAGGGCAUAAAGGGGACUUGCCAAGAACUGGAGCUGAAGAAGGCAAGAGACUACCCAGCAGGGUGUUUUUUGCUCCUCUUACCUCACGGAAGGAGAAUAUCCAAGGUGAGGAAAAACUUCAUGGAGGCAAAAGUUGCCAAAGUUGCUAGAACAAAAAUUAUAGAGGAAUUUGAGGCAGUGCCAAUUAAUCAUUUAGAAAGAUGGAAUCCAACAGGCUCAAUAUACAAUGCUAUCCUUUCUGAGAAGCUGGAUAUAGCUGCUGAGAGAUAGGUGGGAAUGAACCUAAGCCUUAGUCUACAAUCUUUUUUAAAAAAUUUUUUUUCAGAAAUGUCCCAUAUUUUCAGUGAUGCAUAAGAAAUGCAGUACUGGAAUCAUAUGAUCACAUAAGUGUUGUGCCCAUCCAGAUUUUGAGAGUGCCUGGCCUAAAAAUUUAACACCUGUGGAUACAGACCCAUUUUAGCCAUAUGGAGAAAACUGGUUGUGUAGCCGUUUCUGGAACACAGUACUGUCUGUGAUGGAGGCCCAUCGAGUAACAGAUGCUGGAGGAAGUUAGGGUAAAGGAGGUGGCCCUGCCAGCAUAUGCUUAACGGCUGUGGCUCAUCUGCAUAGAAACUAAUCUUUCUUUCUCUCUUUAUGUUCUUAAGUCAUAGAUGAACUGUCCUGGCUUCCUUCAUGUGUAGACCCUACUGGUCCUUAGUGAAUUACUUUACUCUAUGAAAUUGCCUUAAUCAAAAAUUCAUUUUUCAUUGGUUUCAUACUCAUUGAAGAAAGGAAAAUGCAGGACUGUGAUAAGGCUGAAGAGUGGAGAAAUAAGAAGUGGAAAAAGAGCUGAGGCGAAGGAAGGGGGUAGUUUUCUCCACCUUACCCUGGAUCCAGGCCCCUUUUAGCAGGAUCUCUCCUGGACAGUCCCAGGCACCUUUGAAGUCUGUCCACUUUGGGCCACAGUGACUUCAGACCCUUGAGACACAAAGGUAAUAGCCACUGUUUAUACUACAACCUUCUGCUUUUUAGUUGGGAGCCUACAGGGCAUGGGUGGUUAACUUCAGGUGUAUAAGAGAUAUGACAAAGAAGUACAGUGGCUCUUGAGUCAGGAUAUCUGAGAUCACCGUUUACUAGUACAAUGAUUCUGGGCCAGUACAAAUCUGUAUCAGCUUCUCAUCCUUUUCUUAAAAGAAUCAUCCUAAGGAUCUCAAGAUGAUGUGCAUGAAAGUCCCCAUAGGAUGAAAGAAAUUCAUUUAAAAGUAAUGUAUAAAACUUCCUUAAAAAAAAGUUGCAUUUGAUUCAGAAUAUUUUAGAGUUUGAAAUCCUUUAGGGGAGUUUCAUUUUGACAUCUGUUUGUGAUCCUUGUGUGGUAUGAAGGUGAGUCUCUGUCCCCUCUGUAAAGAGACCUCAGUGAAAUGGAGCUUUCCAGGCAGUGGAAAGUUAAAGGAUGAUGUCGGAGAGAUAGGUAAAGAGAGAAAGGUUGUUUUGACUGCAGUAACUCUAAUGUGGUUAUAGUGAGGAAGAGCUUAGUUUCCCUAAAUAUAGCUUUAGUGGUUAUAAAUUUUUGGAUGGUGGUAAAAUGUUUAAAAAAUUAACCACUUGCUGGUGCAUAGUUUGUCAAUGACAGUGACCAAGAAUUCUGGGGAUCAUGAGUUAGAAAGCCUGCGUCAGAAGGUAUAUAUAGUUAAUUUAUGCAUAAGACCUUGUAUGAAAAAGUUGUAUUUGAAAGAGAAAGCUGAGAUUUUGCAUUAAAAAUCUGAAAAUAUCUUAUUUGGAAGUUUAAAAAUAUUUCAAUACUUAAUAUCUUUCCUAAUACUUCUGUUUUAUUUUAAAAUCAUAAGUAUAUAAGGAUUCCCCCACCCCAUCUCCUCCAGUUCACCCCACUGUGCCAUUUUCCCUGAGUGUUGUGAGAUGACAGCAUUGGGAAGCAAUGAUUUAAAGAAUUGUCACUGGCUACCUAUCUUGUCAUAGAUUUUUCCAAGGGCCUGGCUAGUAUCUUGCUUUCAUCAGCUUAACCCAUUGCCAGGAGUUUUUUAUGUCUGUUUUUUUUGUGUUAGGAAUAAAUUUUGCUCUAAAGUUCUUAAAUACUUGUAAAUCAAAUAGCUAUUAGGUUGUAUGGAGACAGAGAUCGUGGAUAGCAAAUAGGAAUUUCUUAAUUCACUCCGACCUCAAUUUUACCCCUGGGAAAACAGCCCAAGCCACAUGACCCUUAGAAUAAAAAAUCAUAGUGGCUCAGGUUUCUGCAGAAAUGUAGGUUCGAUCUCUGGCCCUGCCCUGCACAGUGGGUUAAAAGAUCUGGUGUUGGCGUAGGUGUGGUGUUGGUUGCAGCCGCAGCUCAGAUUCAGUCCCUGGCCCAGGAACUUACAUAUGCUGCAGGUGUUACCAAAAAAAUUUUUUUUUCCUUAGUAGCUGUUGUUUUAGAAGCUUCUCUUGAUUUUGUAGAAAAUGGAGGUGGUUGCCUUGCAAUAGGAACUCAGGGCUCUUCUGGCCCCCAAAGACAUGGCAAUUGGCUGGUGGGUGGACACUUCCUUUCCAGAAUUACUAGAAUGUGGAGUUGUUGCAGUGAGGAAACCCAUCUGCUGUCCUUGGGGCCAGAGAAGUUGUGUGGUAGAGAUUCUAGGAAUAUUUCUGCCUGAGAUAAAUUAUUUCAUACCACACCUCAGGUUCUUAGGUUCUAAAAUCAAUAAAGGUAAAUUUGAUAAAUUACUGUUUUCUUAAACACAACUCUGGAUGGCAUGGUUUUAUGAUGACCUUAGCUCUGGCACUUUGGUAUGAAA
rnacentral:lncRNA from 1 species